CCCACCAUUUGUCCUCCAAAGCCCAAAUUACCCACAAUUUCUCAGCUUUUUGCAAAGCAAAUGUGUUCUUCACAAUUUCACAUAAUCCCAUGUAAAAAGUUAUCGGCGAUGAAAUCAACAUCAACCCAGAUUUUGCAAGAUUUGAUUUUUAUACCUUGUUUGGUAGUCCAAUUCAGGUUUACCAGCAAGAUUUGAUACUCAAAUUUUACAAAUUGAUCUGAUAUUUUCGUUCAAUUUCGUUGCAAUUCAAGGUCCUUCAGAUGAUAAAAAGCUGCUUUUCGUGCAGUUCUUAUAGUCCGUACAUGCUUGAAACCUCCACUGUUAACGAAAUGAGGUUAACCUCUGAGGAAAAAGAGAGAAACUUCAUUCACAACGGAGCAGUUCUUUUGGAAAUGCAGAUUUCAUGUUUUAAAGGAAAGGGUAAAGAGCCAGUUAAAAUAUUCUCAGAAGAGGACAUUAAUCGUGCUACUAAUGGUUAUCAUCCUGGUCAAAUCAUUGGUUGCAAAAUUGCCACUGUUUACAGAGGAAACCUUGAAGAUCGAGUUGUUGCUAUAAAGACCCCUAAAGGCCUUCCUAGCUCAGAUGGAAUGAUUAAGUUCUUCUUGAAUCAGGUCACUAUCAAGCAGCAAAUCAGCCACAAAAAUGUGGUCCGACUCUAUGGUUGUUGUCUAGAGACUCACAUACCCAUGCUCGUCCAUGAGUUUAUGCAUAGUAACCUGUUUGAUCUUUUGCACGGGCCGAGUGGUUCCUGCUGCGUCUCCUGGCAAAAUCGCUUGAGAAUUGCCACUGAAAUCGCAUAUGCACUUUCUUAUAUGCAUUCUGUGGGAUCAAAGCCAAUUGUGCAUAGAAAUGUCAAGUCAGCGAGCAUAUUCUUGGAUGAGUCUUUCUCUGCCAAACUCUCUAAUUUUGGAUUGUCCAUCACUAUUAACCCUGAAGAAACGAAACCUAUUUUCCCACCACAGGGAAGCGUAGGAUACAUCGAUCCAGAGUAUGCAGAGACCUCGGUGGUUACAGAGAAAUGUGAUGUUUAUAGUUUCGGUGUUGUUAUGGUGGAACUGCUAACCGGAAAAGAUCCAGCAAAUAUGUGGAAACAAGGUGGUGAUAUAGUUGAAUAUUUCUUUUCAUAUAUGACGCGAAAUUGUGUGUUAGACGUAGUUGAUCAGAGAUUGUUGCUAGAAGAAAGUGUAAAGUCUACUAUACAACAGUUUGCCGAGUUGAUAAUGAGGUGUGUCCAAAGUAAGGGAGAAAGAAGGCCAACCAUGGAGGAAGUUGUAUUACAGCUUCGGAAAAUGCAGAUAACUUUGAACUUGGUUUCAGAGAGUUAAAUGAGAAGGUUACAACUUCUGGACCAACAAUCUGGAGUAAUGUAAGGCGGAAAAUGCAUGAUACAAGAACCGAUGAGAAAAUGAGAUUUUGAUCUCUUUGAUCAGAUUCAGCAUUUUGUCUCUGUGAAUAUCCUUUGUUUAAAUGAGAAAGGGGGUGACUCAACUUCCUGUAUCUCAUUAUUCUCAUUCCUCACCCUGCACUAUAUCGACCUCUUGAAAGAAUCUUCUCCGACUUCCCACCAGAGCAAUGUUGACGUUGUAAAUCUUGUAAUCAUCUUAGAAAUGGCAGAAAUCUGAUAAGGAUCAGGAGUUUAUAGUUGCUUUUCUAUUAUUGCAUAAGGCGGUAAAUCUAGGUUGAAGGGAUUCAGUAUAAGGAAGAUGAGGAAGAACAGUUAUCAGCUUGGAAGCAUCUUAAUAUACUUAACAGUUAUUGUCCAGUUUUGUUCUUUUAGGAAGAUGGAAUUUUUGAUGCCAGUCACUCCGCAGACGGAAAAGGGAAAUAAUCUUCUUUCGGUGGCUUCAUAAAGUUCGAUUCUCUGCAGGGGCUGAUAAUUGUACAAGCACCAUGCUGGUAAUUAAAUGGAACCUCAAUGAAGAAAAUGGUGGUUGAUCAGAAUCUGUCUCAAACAUCAUCUGCCCCAACUACUGUGUAUGGCUAUGCUUCCCUGCUUUCCCCCUAUAUGACUACAUCUCCUUAGCCAAAGUCAGCUUAAGAAAAAUUCACAGCAAUGAUUAUAGAGAUAAACAGUUAAACACCCUAAGAACCAAUGAUACUUAAAAUAAUGGAAAGUCAACAAAAGACACCUUACCUAAAGUGAAUGCCACAACCCAUAUUCAUUCACAAGAUUCAUAGAAUCUACUUCCUCCGUUCUCAAUUACAUGACACAAUUGGGUUUUUGACACUAUUCACACAAGCUCUGUUGACUUCAUGUUAUGAUUCAUACAUAAGAAAAAAUAUAGUCGUCUUAUUAGAUUCGUCUCAAUAAAUAUUUUUUAAAUAUUAACUUUUUAUAAUCUUUUUCUUAUCCAUAAUGAAAGAUAUUACAAAAGUUGAUAGAAAUGAUUAAAUGAUUAAUUUUAUACAUUAUUAGUGAUUUUGAAUAAAUAAGUUUUACUAAAAUGAAAAAAUUUAUCGCUUAAAAAUAGAUAACUUUUACCUAUAUAAGCUUAACUUUUAAGCAUUUUGAGUUAACUUUUACUUCGGUGUACAAUAUUUGUUGUACACCCAUUGUAAAUAAGAAUUUGUGAAGAUAUUAAUGUUUGAAAUUGUAUAUUGGCAAACGUGCCUAAAAAAAAUAGAGAAAGUAUAUCUACAACCUUUUAAAAGUGUAGAGUUAUACUUCACUAUUCAUGCAAUAGUCCCAUGACCAAAAUACCCUUAUAUACCUUCUAAUUAUCAGUUCUGCCCUUCAUCACACCCAAUGCCACAUUCCUUGACUUAAAGAACUGCUUUCCUCUUCCCAGUGCCUUUCCUCUCGCCCAUGCCUCUCUUCCCCCUCCAUUAUUUUCUCUCUCAAGAUCCGCUCCACCUCCCAUGCCUCUCUUCCCCCUCCAUUAUUUUCUCUCUCAAAACCCUAGCUGCUUCUCCUUUCUCUUGUCUUCUACUUCCGAUCUUCACAUUCAACUCCAUGUUUUGGAGAUCUGAAAUGGACGAGAAGGAAGAAGAGGAACCGAUGUGGAGUAUUUCUCAUGGAUAUAGGAAUUUGUUUAAUUCUUCUAAUCUGAUCUACGAGUACUCUACACAGAAUAAUUCCUUCGAUGUUGGUGUCGGAUUUGACGGCUAGGGUUUUCGAUGAACUUGAUACUACAAUGGCGGCUAGGGUUUUUGAUGAAUCUUCUACUAUAGCUGGUGGUUAAGGGGAAGUUUGGAGUUGUUUGUGUUGUUUUGUUGUUACUUUGAGAAGUCUAAGCUUGAUAUGACUCACCACUGAGGUUUAGUACUUACUCCCCUCUUUUUUAUGGGUAUGAAAUUUUGGUUUAUUGGUGUUAAGAAUUUGAAUAUGUGGAUUUUUCUAUGUUGAAUUGCUUGAGGCUGGCUAUUGUUCUUGGUUUUUAUUUGAUUGUAUGUCGUGUUUUGAUUCUAUUUUGUUUGUUGUUCUAUCACAAAACGGGUACUCCUUCUGAGUCUCCUUUUUCUGGAUUUUCCGAAUUAGGGUUUUGUUUCUUGGGUUUAACUGUUGAUUUUAUUGAAUUAUGGCUGGUUUAAUUGAAUUGUUAAAUUUACUAUUUCAACGUUCCUUUUCCUGCUAUUUUAUUUGAUUUUUGGUUCUUUUCUUGAACAUAAAUUCAAAAUGGUUUCUGAAAGUUUCUCAUGCUCCUCAUGCGGUAAACAAAGUAGAAUGGCAUCUGGCAACAAGUAAAGCUGCACGAAUUUUGUAGAUCAAAGAACAUUCAUCUAUCUGUACGUUGGGAACAAGUCACCGAUCCACUUCACCAGGAAGUUUUCUCAAGCACCGGUAUGAUUGAAGGAUGAAAGCUGAUUCGGAAAGAGAAGUCGUCCUAUGGCUUUGUGGAUUACUAUGAUCGAAGAUCAACUUCUCUUAAUAUUGUCAGUCUUAAUGGACGUCAUCUUUCUGGACAACCUAUCAAAGUUAAUUGGGCAUAUGCGAGCAGUUAAAGAGAGGACACGACGAAUCAUCAUGACGUACUUGUUGGGAAUUUGAGCCUUGAGGUUACAGAUGCUACAUUGUUCGCAUGCUUCUCUCCUUAUCAAACCUGCUCAGAUGCUAGAGUAAUGUGGGAUCGGAAGACUGGGCAUUCCAGGGGUUUUGGGUUUGUUUUAUUAGAAGCUAACAGAGUUGUAAGUUGCCACAAAGUUGGGCGAGGAACCAUCACGAAUGUUCUUUAUGCUAUUAGGCCUGUCGUGUUUAACUUAGUCAUGUAUUUUUUUUUAUGCUUAGCCAUGAUUUCUAUAUAUGUAACCUACAUCAAGUAAUCAGCGGUGUUUGUUUUCAUGCUUUCAACCAUUUCUAUAGAGUAAUUAGGCUUAUGAUUUGUAUUGUGUUCCGAGAAAUAGUUUUUUAUAUCUUGGGGGAACGUGCGCGCUAACAACUAGUGUCAAUAAAAAGGUCAAUGCCGACCUAACUGCUACAAAACCAAACAAACCCAUAUGUAUUCAUAAGAUUUUUUCUUUUUCUUUUUCUUUUUCUUUUUGCAUCGAUAUCUCAAACAUGGAUAUGCUUCUUUUCUUACUACCCAUAUCCAUGUACUCCCUUCGUCCCGGAAUACUCGACCCAUUUUGACCGACACAUAGUUUAAGGGACUUGAAUUGACUUAUUUAUUUUAAUAGGUACUCCGUAAUUAAUUUGUAGGUUGUACGUACUUCCUUAAUUACUUCCUUGUAUAGAACAAUUAAUUCAAUUAAACCAACUUCAACUCGGUAAUAACACUUUACUUUCCUAAACCUAGUACUCCGUGUUGAAAUUGUACGGAGUAUUUGUUAAUAAUUAGUGCAUGUUUAGGAAACUACAGAGUUACGUUUGCUAAUUUAUUAUUAUUUAUAAAAAAUUAAUAUUUAGAAAAUAGGUGCUAUAUUUCCGGAACGGAGGAAAUAUUAUUAUUUGUAAAAAUAUACGUAAAUAUAUUUAAUGUUUGACUAAUUUACAAUUACAAAAUUUUACAAUUAAUCAGAAUAUAUUAACAUAUAUUCUUACAAUUUCAACCAACCGUAUCAGCUCUAGAGAAUAAUACUUGCCUUGAACUGCAAGUUACUGUCCGACAACAGAAAAAAUAGGCAAGUUCUAUUUUGAUUAGGAAUUGGAUCCACAUAACUUCAAUCCAAACAUAUAAAUACACCACACGGUAGUAAUCAUCAAAUAACAAUACAUGAAAACAAUACAUACUCUAGAAUCUAGAUCAAUUAGUCAAGUUCUAUUUUGAUUAGGAAUUGGAUCCACACAACUUCAAUCCAAACCUAUAAAAACCUCACACGGUAGUAGUAAUCAUCAAAUAACAAUUCAAGAAAACAAACAAGAAAUUAAUACUUCACUCGAUCAAUUAGAAAAUUGAAGAAGAUGGAGAACACCAACAACAACAACAACAACAACAACAACAACAACAACAACAACACAAUUGAUAAUGUUCAACGCCAACUAGCAUCAAACUCUGCAACGAAGAAUGGAUGUGGUUUCUUUGGUAAACCGGCCGCGACUGAAGAGUUGUUCGGUAGAGCUAUUGAGACGGAAGUGAAGCGAUAUGACGGUAUAGUUAGUCCGUUUUGGGAGGCAAUAUUUCGUGAAAAUAGUGCAAGAAAGAAGCACGUACGUGUUAUUUCUAAAGUCAAUAUGGAUCACGAAACUACUAAAAACCGGUGUGAUUCCUGCAAGAAACGGAUCAAGUUGAUCGGAUUCAAGUGCAAGUGCGACGGAAUCUAUUGCGGGUCUCACCGCUACCCGGAGGUGCAUUCUUGUAAGUUCGAUCAUAAGGAGGUUGGACGUCACGCGCUUUCUAAAACAUUGUACGCAUCUGCUUGUAAGGCUGCCAAGAUUAAUUACUUGUAAAAUUAUUGCAACUUUUUUUUUAUUCAAAGAUAUAUACAACAUAUUUGUACAGUAUUAUUUGUUAAUUUGGUUCUUUUUAUGAUCAAUGAUACUUGUUUUUGGUUA